rnacentral:rRNA from 1 species
CAUCUGCUGGAGCUCGACGCGCUGUCCAUGUGCCAACCCCAGUGGCUGCAAGAGGUGGCGAACUCCUACGAGACUGACCCGGAGUCACAAGAGCUGCUCGCCAAGCUGGCAGUUGUGGGCGAGGACGAUCAAGGCCGGGCACUGCAGAAUGGAGUAAUACGUCAGCGCGGCCGCCUGUGGAUCGGCGCCAACUCCGCACUCCAGACCAAGCUCAUCGCCGCGCUUCAUCACAGCGCGGCCGGGGGCCACUCGGGAGCCACAGCCACUUACCACAGAGUACGCAAGCUCUUUGCCUGGCCCGGCCUCAAGCGCACCGUGGAAGACUUCGUUCGUCAGUGCGACAUCUGCCAACACGCCAAGCAUGAGAACUUGCACCCGGCCGGCAAGCUUCAACCCCUGCCGAUUCCGGACGCGCCAUGGCAAGAUGUGACCAUGGACUUCGUCGAGGGUCUACCCAAGUCUGAAGACUGCGACUCCAUCUUGGUCGUCGUCGACCGACUCACCAAGUUCGCGCACUUCGUGCCACUCCAUCACCCCUUCACGGCGGCGCAGGUGGCCCGCGCGUUCUGGGAGCACGUCAUAAAGCUGCACGGCGUCCCUCGCUCCAUCGUUUCCGAUCGCGACAAGAUCUUCACCAGUGCAAUGUGGCGAGAACUGCUCACUGCGGCCGGCACCAAGCUCCUCUACUCCACCGCCUACCACCCCCAGACGGACGGCCAGACGGAGCGGGUCAACCAGUGUCUGGAGAUGUACCUGCGAUGCGCCGUCCACGACAACCCGAGGCGAUGGCGCAAGUGGCUUCCGGCAGCAGAGUUCUGGUAUAACUCCACACACCACGCGUCUCUCAAGUGCUCGCCGUUCAGAGCGCUCUACGGCGUUGACCCCAACCUGGGUGGUUUACCUCACUUCAGCGCCGACUCAACCCCGGGCGCACCUGCGGAGGAGGUGGACUGGGCAGCACACACUGAACGCCUCCGUGCUCAGCUUGCUCACGCUCAGUCGCGUUUCAAGAAGCAGGCUGAUCGCCACCGUGCCGAGCGCGCGUUCGACAUCGGCGAGCAAGUGCUGCUAAAGCUGCAACCGUAUGCCCAGUCGUCGGUUGUGAAUCGCCCUUGCCGGAAGCUCUCCUACAAGUUCUACGGGCCGUUCAUGGUGACCGAACGGAUCGGCAACCUAGCAUAUCGUCUUCAUCUUCCAGCCGACAGCCGAAUCCAUCCGGUAUUUCAUGUUUCUCAGCUGAAGCCGUACACCCCUGAUUACACCCCCGUCUUCUCCGAGCUGCCGCAGGUGCCGGACUUGGUCACCAGUGAGACGGAACCAGUGGCCAUUGUGGAGCGUCGUAUGAUGAAGAAAGGAGAUGCGCCAGUAAUCCAGCUACAAGUGCAGUGGUCCAAUCGGUCCCCAACAGCCACAACCUGGGAAGACUAUGCCACCUUAAGGGAGCGCUACCCAUCGGCCUGCAUCUGGGAAGGAGCUUCUUCUCAAGACGGGGGCAAUGUCACGCCUGUAGAUGACGAUCUGCAGCGG